GACGAGCCACUCAAACGUUAUUCGGAAUUACUGGGCUUAAAGGGUGCGUAGGCUGCGCGGUAAGUUGGGUGUGAAAUCCCUCGGCUCAACCGAGGAACUGCGCCCAAAACUGCCGUGCUCGAGGAAGAUAGAGGUGAGCGGAACUUAGGGUGGAGCGGUGAAAUGCGUUGAUAUCCUAAGGAACACCGGUGGCGAAAGCAGCUCACUGGAUCUGUUCUGACGCUGAGGCACGAAAGCUAGGGGAGCGAACGGG
rnacentral:rRNA from 1 species